AGCGAACGCUGGCGGCAGGCUUAACACAUGCAAGUCGAACGGGCGUAGCAAUACGUCAGUGGCAGACGGGUGAGUAACACGUGGGAACGUACCUUUUGGUUCGGAACAACUGAGGGAAACUUCAGCUAAUACCGGAUAAGCCCUUACGGGGAAAGAUUUAUCGCCGAAAGAUCGGCCCGCGUCUGAUUAGCUAGUUGGUGGGGUAAGAGCCCACCAAGGCGACGAUCAGUAGCUGGUCUGAGAGGAUGAUCAGCCACAUUGGGACUGAGACACGGCCCAAACUCCUACGGGAGGCAGCAGUGGGAAUAUUGGACAAUGGGCGAAAGCCUGAUCCAGCCAUGCCGCGUGAGUGAUGAAGGCCCUAGGGUUGUAAAAGGCUCUUUUAACGGGGAAGAUAAUGACGGUACCCGUAGAAUAAGCCCGGCUAACUUCGUGCCAGCAG
rnacentral:rRNA from 1 species